rnacentral:rRNA from 1 species
ACGCUCACACCUACUGGAGGCAGCAGUGGGGAAUAUUGCACAAUGGGGGAAACCCUGAUGCAGCGACGCCGCGUGGAGGAAGAAGGUCUUCGGAUUGUAAACUCCUGUUGUUGGGGAAAAAGAGGAUGGUACCCAACAAGGAAGUGACGGCUAACUACGUGCAAGCAGCCGCGGUAAUCUGAGCGGGCUGGCAAGGC